CCCAACCCCACUUUUACACCCCUAUACCCCCACUACAGCCCAUAUUCCCUGACUACAGUCCGUACCCCACACUUCAGUCCCGAUCCCCCAAUUGCAGCCCCUUUCCCCAAUUGCAGCCAUGUACUUCAGUCCCUAAGUCAUCAGCUACAGCUGUUAUCCUGCACUACAUUUCCUAAUCCCCCAAUUAUGGCACAUACCCUCCAAUACAGC